GAUAUCUUAUCUCGCCGCCCGUCCGAGGCGGACGGAGGGAUGGAUGAGGUUACCUAGGAAAAAAUCGGGGCGAUCUAGGCGGGCGAACCUCGCCAACGAACGAUCGGACAUGGGAUAACGGAAGAGGGCGUCGGCUCGACUUCGUCGGUUCCGUCGGGCCGAGGCACGUACGGUGAAUAGGGACGGUCGGGGCCGCCCGUACCGGGUCGUGAGAGGUGAAAUUCUAGGAUCGACCCGAGACGAACUGCCGCGAAAGCAUUCGGCAAGGACGCUUUCAUUAAUCAAGAACGAAAGUCGGGGGAUCGAAGACGAUCAGAUACCGUCGUAGUCCCGACCGUAAACGAUGCCGACCGAGGGCCCGGAGGAGUUACGUACGACCCUCCGGGCCCUCCCGCGAGAAAUCAGGAGUAUUCGGGUUCCGGGGGGAGUAUGGUCGCAAGGCCGAAACUUAAAGGAAUUGACGGAAGGGC
rnacentral:rRNA from 1 species